UGGAGGGCAAGUCUGGUGCCAGCAGCCGCGGUAAUUCCAGCUCCAAUAGCGUAUAUUAAAGUUGUUGAGGUUAAAAAGCUCGUAGUUGAACCUUGGGCCUAGCCGGCCGGUCCGCCUCACCGCGUGCACUGGCUCGGCUGGGUCUUUCCUUCUGGAGAACCGCAUGCCCUUCACUGGGUGUGUCGGGGAACCAGGACUUUUACUCUGAACAAAUUAGAUCGCUUAAAGAAGGCCUAUGCUCGAAUACACUAGCAUGGAAUAAUAGAAUAGGACGUGUGGUUCUAUUUUGUUGGUUUCUAGGACCGCCGUAAUGAUUAAUAGGGACAGUCGGGGGCAUCAGUAUUCAAUUGUCAGAGGUGAAAUUCUUGGAUUUAUUGAAGACUAACUACUGCGAAAGCAUUUGCCAAGGAUGUUUUCAUUAAUCAGGAACGAAAGUUAGGGGAUCGAAGACGAUCAGAUACCGUCGUAGUCUUAACCAUAAACUAUGCCGAUUAGGGAUCGGACGGCGUUAUUUUUGACCCGUUCGGCACCUUACGGGAAAC
rnacentral:rRNA from 1 species